rnacentral:pre_miRNA from 1 species
CGCCCGCGUAAAUCGUACUAUUUUUACCUAACGUUUGACCAUUCGUCUUAUUUAAAAAAUUUAUAUAAUUAUCAUUUAUUUUAUUAUGACUUGAUUCGUCAUCAAAUGUUCUUUAAGCAUGACAUAAAUAUUUAUAUUUACAUAAAAAAUUUGAAUAAAACAAAUGGUCAAACGUUGGUCGAAAAGUCAACGGCGUCAUACAUU